GCUGCCCCGCGCUCCGCCCAGACUGGGGCCGCGCUCCCCGCGCUGACCGCCCGAGCGCCCCGGGCCCGUCGCACGCGCUUGCUCACACCCACGCGGCCACCCACACCCGCGCCCACACCCCUCGCCUUUCCCCCCGAAGGCUCUCGCCCGUCCACCUGCGCUCCCGCUCGCACACGCGCUCCCCCACGCGCGCCCCGCCCCACGCGCCCGCGCUCCCGCUCCCCCUCGGCCCGCUGACCCCGCGGGGGCGCAGGCACCGCCAGCCAGAGCGCGGAGGACCCACGGGCUCCCCAUGGCUGACCUGAGCUUCAUCGAAGAUGCCGUGGCCUUCCCGGAGAAGGAGGAGGAUGAAGAGGAGGAGGAGGAGGGCGUGGAGUGGGGCUACGAAGAAGGUGUUGAAUGGGGGUUGGUGUUUCCUGAUGCGAAUGGGGAGUACCAGUCUCCCAUUAACCUAAAUUCAAGGGAAGCCAGAUAUGACCCCUCACUGCUGGAUGUCCGCCUCUCGCCAAAUUAUGUAGUCUGCCGAGACUGUGAGGUCACCAAUGAUGGACAUACCAUUCAGGUUAUCCUGAAGUCAAAAUCAGUUCUUUCGGGAGGUCCAUUGCCUCAAGGGCAUGAAUUCGAACUGUAUGAGGUUCGAUUUCAUUGGGGAAGAGAAAACCAGCGUGGUUCUGAGCACACAGUUAAUUUCAAAGCUUUUCCCAUGGAGUUGCAUCUGAUCCACUGGAACUCCACCCUGUUUGGCAGUAUUGACGAGGCUGUGGGGAAGCCGCAUGGAAUCGCCAUCAUCGCUUUGUUUGUUCAGAUAGGAAAAGAACAUGUAGGCCUAAAGGCUGUGACCGAAAUCCUCCAGGAUAUUCAGUAUAAGGGGAAGUCCAAAAUAAUACCCUGCUUUAAUCCUAAUACUUUAUUACCAGAUCCUCUGCUGCGUGAUUAUUGGGUGUAUGAAGGCUCACUCACUAUUCCACCUUGCAGUGAAGGUGUCACCUGGAUAUUAUUCCGAUACCCUUUAACUAUAUCCCAGCUACAGAUUGAAGAAUUCCGCAGGCUGAGGACACAUGUGAAGGGGGCAGAACUCGUGGAAGGCUGUGAUGGGAUUUUGGGAGACAAUUUUAGACCCACGCAGCCACUUAGUGACAGAGUCAUCAGAGCUGCAUUUCAGUAGCCAAAGGGAACAGGACAAGCCCGGCUUCCUCCGGUAUGUGUGUUUAUUUUCAUUUUAGAGAUAAAGAAACUCAGACUGAGAGGGGUUGAGUAACUUGCUCAAGGUCACAGCCAUUAAAGUGCAAAGCAAGGAUGCAAACGCAGGAGGAAGACAAUGGUGGUAUAGUGCCCUAGGAUGAGAACGGAACCGUCUGAGCUGCAGCUUUGGUUUUUCCUGAAAGCCUGCAUUGUUUGUCUUCAUCUAACCCAGCUUUGAUGGACAUCUCUGGCAGUUGCCUGUACACAUGCUCUAAUGAAAUAUUAGGAAUGGCUGUACAUUGAAAAGAAGCCCCAUAUUAUAUAUCACUGCUGGUAGUAUUCAUAUUUUUUACACACGCUGUUUAUUGCUUAUAUGUAGAAGAAAUGAAACUAGUUUUCAGAGUUGUUAUUAAUAUGAAUAUAUAUCAUGUACUAAUGUCGAGACAGGAAAAAUACAUUUCCAGCAUUAGCAGUCCUUCAUUUCCUGUCUCCAACAGAAAAUCCACUCCUUCGGAGAAUAAUGUAAGUCUUGAUAAUAAAAUAAGAGCUUUGAUUAAAAACAGCAUACAGCUUCAAAGUGGAAUGUAAAGGAUUAGUAAAAAUCAUAUCUCAUGUUAUUUCCUAGCCCUCACACCACAGCUGAUGUCAGGCUGGGUUGUUAUUAUGGAAAACAGUUUGGGAAUUAAUGCAAAAACAUACUCACUUUAUAUAUUUCUGUCUUAGUAAAAGGAUUUAUUUGAAGAUACGAAUCUAAUCAUAUUUAUUUGACAUAUUAGAAGCUGUGGUUUCUAAGACAAAAAGAAAGUAGGUACCUUGAAUAGCUCCUUUUCCAUGAUAGAAACAUAAAUUUAAUAGUACCUCUAUAAUAAUUUAGUGUUGUACAUUUUGUAAGACAUCAAAAUAUUUUAUUCUGUGAAUUUCAUGUCUUCAGUAUAUUGAAACUUUUCUUUCAAAGGUGGCCAACAGUAUAUUUUAAUUAAUUUUAAGCGUUACUAGCAAAGUUUAGCAUAUGUUUAUAUAUAGUUAAGUGUGACAGAAUGAGAUGACUUAUGUAAAACAGUAGAGUGCCUGGUGCAAAGCAAGUACUUAAUAAAUGUUUAUUGUCAUAAUUAUUGUCAUAAAACUAAUAACUUCAAAAACAUAGUCCUGAUUUGGAGGGAUUUUGUGAUGCCAAAUAUAUGUUAGAAAUAGAAAUAAUACAGGUGGAAUAAGCAUGUGCUGAGAGAUUUUAGAUGUGUUGAGUAUCGGGGAACAUGGAGGUGUGGAAGGUGUAGGGUGGAGCCGUGGGCAGGGAGAGAAAGCACUAGAGCUGCAGCCGAGUGAGGAAGGUGGCAUCUUGUGAAGGGUCAGGAUGCGUGGCUGCCAGGUCCACAUCAGGGCAGCAUGAGGCAGAGCCGCUGAGGGGCAGAGGCAAGCCCUGGAUUCUUCCUUCCCACGGUUUCUCGUGUGUAUACAGAAAUGAAGCAAUGGCAAAGCAUGGCUACACAAACUGGCAUAUUUAAACAUUUAUAUCUUACAGAAAAAACUGAUGAACCACACACUUGCCAAACACUGGCUGCCGUUGUGGCCUCCUUUGUGGUCAACAUCAAAAGACAAACUCCCAACCCUGUCUUGGAGGAGAGGCCCUGGCACGGAGGUUCACGGGCACCCACCUCUCUGCUCCCGGCCCGGUUGGGUUGAGCAGCCAGGGGCUGUUCCUGGACCCAACUUCUGAUGCUUCUUGUAGUCUCCAACCUUCUGUCCCUUAAGAAUAAAAAGUAAACAUAACAAAAAUGAAUCCAAAUGACUUUCAAGGUGGUAUCCAGUUUCCAUAUUUUCCCUUUUCCUCUCUAAUACAUAAAUACAUAUUAUAUAUAAAAUUAAGGAAUCACAUUUAUUUGCUGUAUAUUUUCUGAGUCAAAAGACUAAAAUCAACUACUUGGUUCAAUGUGUGGUAUCCAUUGACUAGAUUGUGUGGCAGUUUAAUAUUCUUUAAUGUGGAAAAUCGCUUGUUUCUGCAGCUAGUGCCUCAGAGUCAGAUGUGAAUGCUGUUGGACAGUGAUGCUUCUGUAGAGAUGAACUUGAAAGGGUCACCUGUCAAUGAACAAAAGUGCAAAUAACUAUUCUCAGGUCUAUCCUGUUUUGAUGGCGGAAAGGAAAGGUAUGCAACAGACCCUGAAAUAGGGGAAGAAGCCUCCUAAAGCAGAAAUGUACGUAUGUUUGGGGAGUGGCGUGGGAGGAGGUAGUUAACUAGAAAUAAAUGAUACAUUUCAAAGAUCGUGAUAUUUAGGGUAGAUUUUUUUUGACCUAACAAAGGAAAAAGGGUGACAAAUGGAGGUGCUUUUCCACAUGGCUUACAUUGGAAUCACCUCUGACUCAUGGUAAUUAAGGGAUCUGGUCCUGUGUAAAGUCAUAUUGUUCUCAGAAGUUUUGUUAGGUAAGAUAAGUUGAGCCUUCUCUUUUUUUUUGUCGAUACAUUUAGCUGAAGGCUUGCCAAUAGUGUUGCUCCUUUCAGAGAACUGACGUCUGAUUUUGUUGGUUUUCUGUAUGUUUCUGUUCUCUAUUUCAUUCAGUUCUGCCCUGUCUUUAUUAUUUCCUUCCUGCUGCUUGCUUUGGGGUUUGUUUGUCCUUUUUCAGGUAUCAUAAUGUGAAAGAGUAGGCUAUUGAUUUGAGAUCUUUUUGUAAUACAGGCAUUUACAGUUAUGAAUUUUCCUCUAAGCAUUGCUUUAGCUGCAUCCUAUAACUUGUGGUAUGUUAUAUUUUUGUUUUCAUUCAUCUCAAAGUAUUUUCUAACUUGCCUUGUGAUUUCUUUGACCCAAUGGUUGUGUAGGCACACGUUGCUUAAUUUCUACCUAUUUAUGAAUUCCCAGAUUUCUGUUAUCGAUUUAUAAUUUCCUUGCAUGGUCAGAGGACAUGUUUUGCAUAAUUUCAAUCCUCUUAAAUCUACUGAGACUUGUUUUAUGACCUAGUAUAUGGUUUAUCCUGGAUUGUAUUCCAUGUGCACGUAGUAGGACCUCUGCCCUCUGAGUGGGGCUGUGUGGAAGAAGAGGCUCAUGACCUCUUAGUUGUUGUCCCCAGGGAUUUAGCCUCUGCAGCCUUUUUAAUAUUCCUUGAUUGGGGGCUGAUGGGAAAGGGAGCCCCAUCUUCUUGGCCAUACCCACCUAGAGUGGAGAUUUAAUCAUGUCAACUUAGGGGAGGGGAAGGUAACGAGUGGGUUUAUGGCUCAAAUUCCAAAUACACUCUUCUUACUGAGGUUUAGAAGGUCUUCUUCAGUAAAUGUUUCCCUAUUUGCUGUAUGUCCUUAGGAGAAUUUCCAGACACUUUAAAAUUCUUUUUAUUCCCCUGUGAUAGUUGUUUACAGGGGGCAGUAGAUCUGGGGCUCCUCACAUUGCCAUUCUGGGUGUAAUUCUCUGUCAUUUAGAGUAGCGCAGUACUCAAACUGUUAGGCUGCCAGUUCCCUUUUGGAAUUGUCACUUGAAUAAGCACAUUUUUCAAAAAUUUGUGUCAAAUAUCAACAUUGUAAUUAAGGGUAGACUCAUGCACUUCAAUAAUUUAAAGUUUCUUAAAAUGAAAAUGAAGUUGACAUAUUAGUCAUUAACUUAUUGAGUUAAUAACUGCAAUUUUAUUUCACCAUUUAUUUCUCGAAUUAAUUAAUUAAAAGCAAUUAAUUUGUACGUGCUGAUUAAUGCUUUUCAUGUCUUAACUCUUGACUCUUGAAACUUAACCAUCUUGAGGAUAGUUCAUUUUCCUUAGAACUAUCCACAUUUAGUGGGAAAUAUUAAUAUAGCAAAUAUUGACAUGAUUAAAAAGCAACCUCUAUUAAUUUAAUGCAGAAUAUUAUCUUGGGUCAUAGUAGAGGGUAUGAUGAAAAGGAAGAGGCAUUAUACACUGAUGAUGUAAUGCAGCCCCUGAGGAUAUGCACACAGAAACAGUCUCCUCUUUUUUCCUGUUCCUUUCCUGUAUUUAGAGUUGUGUGUCUGGCAUGAAACUACUAACAGGCUCUCACUGAGAUAAUGAGGUGGUGAGACCCUUUGUACAUUUUUUAAGAAAGAUAAAAACAAUACAGAAGAAAGGAUUUUAAAUUAGAAAUUUUUGUGUCAUAUCAGACUUAGAUUACAUUUUAAUAAGGCACACUAGAAGUUUUAUACUUUGAGUCGUACAGGAAUACUCAUUUGGAAAUGAUGCUAUUGACUUUUAAGAAACUUUUCAAUUUCUGAAACUUAAGUGGAUCUGCAUAAACUACUGCCUUGCAAUGCUCUUACUCCCCAACUGGAACACUGUAGUUUUAGUGAGUCAGUAGAACUUAAGAAAUUUCUUAGAGCUCUUCCAAAGACCUGAAUAUGCUUGCUUCAUACCUUGGGGGCCUGAUUCAUUUCCAGAAUAACUCUACCGCACAGUUCCUGUGUUAAACUUUAAUUGCAUCCAAAUUAUAUUGCAAUUCAGUCAACCUCAAUAGGAAUUUCCUGUGAAAUUAUAUUAGAAUCUGGCCCAAAGGGGUGUGUGUGUGUGUGUGUGUGUGUGUGUGUGUGUAUUUUAUAGAAUGCAGAUCAAAAUCUGUACAUUGCAUGGAAAACACUUUAUCUUUUACAACAUAAAGAUGCUUCUUCCUGGCAUAAAGGAAAUCCACAGUAUUAUCAUAGCAAAAGACUGGGAUGAAAAUGGACUCCUUGCAAUUUCAGUCAUAUUAAAUAAAUUUCCUUGCAAAUAUUUUUUGAACAAAUCUCAUUCGAAUGACAUAAUCUUACUACAAAAAACCCUAUAACCUACAUGAUUUCUUUUCUUUCUACUUACAUUUAGAAGUUAUAUUUAUGUGGAAUAGUUCCAGAUAUUCAAUAAAUACAUUUGAGGUCUUAUUAAAAAUUCAUAUGCAAGUCUAGUGAAGACUUAUGAUGGUUUUGCAGAGAGGGAAUGGUAGUCAUGGUGGCCAAACCCAGCCUUCAGUUUGGGGAAAAACAGGAGCCAGGUUUUAAAAAAAAAGCCUUUAAUUCCACACAUUUUUAUUUGCUAAGUCCACAGAAAGGAAAUGUGAAUACAGUUCUUACAGGGAAACUGACCUUAGUGCUUCUCGAGCACCAACGGGGUGAUUUCCUCUUUUGUAAAAGUGUGAGAAAAUGUCCUAAGUGGCCCUCUGUUGUGAGAGACAAGUAGCAGGUGGGCAGUUAACUCCAGGGGACAGUGCAUCCCACGUAGGUUAGGAUUACUAUUAUUGUCAGUCCUUGCACAAAGUACGUAGUGAAAACAUUCUGUGGACAUUGCUUAUGCCAUUAUUUCUCAGUGCAGUUCUGUGCCUUGGGCUCCGGCCUUGCGUUCUUCCGUCCUCAGGGCCUCCCCGAGAAGAUUGUAAGACCCACUGUUGCUAACUCACACUUCAUCCUUGGAGGCCUUUUCUUCUGGGUUACUGACAGGUGGCCUGUAAUUUUACCAUCUCAUGCAUUUGUAUUAAAUAUCUUUAAUGAUCAAAAUCACUGUAUGAUGGGAAUUAGGCUAAGGGUGUAAGCCAGAGGAAACUUUUGCCUUCUCUUUUUCUAACUCGCCUUUUAAAAAGAGGCCAGCUAGGCUGACAUAAUUAAUUUCCGGCGUUUCUUAAUUCUGUCUUCUGAUUUAGCCAAAGGUAACCUUCUUUCCUUUUUUGACCAGAAAGAAAAAUGUGUCAAAUAUUAUGUGUGGUCAAACCUAGGCAUCUGAUGAAGAAUUAUCUUUUAUUUGGAAUUCCCUUAGGAUAUUUCCAAUGGGUUGCACAACACUCUUAACAAAACAAACUUUCCCCAACAGCAUUAGUUCCCAUCAUCUCCCUGUGAGGCAGGAACACAAGGAGCAGGAAGCUGUGGUACAUCUCCUCCAGCUGAAAUGUGGAAAGAGCCACAAUACAGCCACGUGGAGGGCAACAGUGCCUCCAGGCAGAAAGUGACCUGAGGAUGAAUCUGUAAGUGCAGACACGAAAGAAGCCCUGAAGACUUCACCAAAGAAGCGGAGAAUUUCAGUGAGGCCAGACCUCCAGUGCAGCAAUGACUGUAGUAGAUACAGGUCAAUACCUUCAAUGGUUCAAAGUGGUCUUCGUAACAUCAGUCUUUGGGCAAAGUUUUGUGACUAACUCCAGGUCAUACGUCCUUGUGCUCCCAUCACGUCAUGGGGCCAGAUGGUGGGGAAUUAUAGAGGGUCCAGGGUGGGCUGAGUCUGUGUGCAGGCCCUUUAAGCGGAUGCCUGGGUUUCCAGCCACCUUCUGGCUCACCUGGGGGGAAUCUCCACUGAUGGUCACAGCCAGGUGUUGAGGGGAUUCCUCUUCACUGAGCUGGUGCUCUGGGCUGGGGAGACCCUUCCCUCUGCAGCUGAGAUCUCUCUCCUGAUUCUGAUCCGACACACGUGGUGUGGGACCAGCAUGGGUAGUGUCUCAGCCCCUCCCGCAGUCUCCACGGGGCUGCAUUAUAUCCUUAGUUAUCGGCGUUCAGCCCAGCUAGUCCUCAGAUAGUUCUCCAGGUUGAUUGCUCAGUAAUUUAGUUGUGAUUUUGAUGUGGGUGUAGGAGGAGGGGAGCACAGCAUUUUCCUGCUCCACCACCUUGGGGGGGAAAUCCCACAGCCGCUUCCCUCAAACAGAGAGGCAAUAGGCCCAGAAGAGGUUUAAGCAUGGACUAAUGUUUUCUGCAGAUUAACCCCCAUGCUAUUCCUGCUGGAUUAGAAUGGGGUAAACUGGAGGCAGGCAAGCCUUCCACCCAGAAGUAUGGGCAGGUGGGGAGAGAUCAGAGCCAAGAAGCAGAAGGUAGGACCGGUACCUCCUGGCUGGAGAGCAGGUAUCUGAGGCUCCUCCUUCCCCUCAUCCCAAGCUCUUCUCCCCUCCGUGAGUCACUCAUCUAACAAACACAUGAGCCCAGAUGCAAGGUAAGCUGCUGCCCCCAGUUUACUUUAUUUUUUUUGUGUGGGAGGGGAGUCAUUUGCAAGUUUUUAUCAUUAGUCUCUAUCAAGUAAAAAAUAGUGAUCUCUUUUCUCUUCUCCCCUCCCCUCCCCUCCCCUCCCCUCUCCUCUCUCUCUCUAAAUGUCUUGCUUAUAAAUUGUCCUUAUUGUGCUCAUGGCUAAUCCUCCCGGGUAGCAUUUAAACACCUUAGAGCAGCGGUUCUCAACCUGUGGGUCGCGACCCCUUUGGCGGUCGAACAACCCUUUCACAGGGGUCGCCUAAGACCACCCUGCAUAUCAGAUAUUUACAUUAUGAUUCAUAACAGUAGCAACAUUACAGUUACGAAGUAGCAAUGAAAAUAAUUUUAUGGUUGGGUCACAACAUGAGGAACUGUAUUUAAAGAGCCAGAAGGUUGAGAACCACUGCCUUAGAGGUAAGGACUGUGUUUUCAAUCUCUGUGAUAGGUUCCCCUAGCACACUGUUCCCCCAUACACCUUUGAUGAUUCCUCAAAGAGAUAAAAGAUCCUGACCUUACUAGCAGGCACAAACAAACCUCAGUAACAACUCUACACAUUUACUUAUCUUUUCAGAAAUGUAAAAUAAAACCUCUGUGUGUGUGUGUGUGUGUGUGUGUGUGUGUCUUUCUACCCCAUCUUUUCUCAGCAGUCAGUGCUGAAUUCACGGUAAACGUAUUUGCAAUCUGGAAAACACAGCAGCUUCUUGCCUUCCAAUAUUGUCCUAAAACCACAUCACCUUUUUUCUUCUCAACUUGCCGACAACACACUCGUUAGGGGUCAUACACUCAGGAUGGGCGUGCGUUCUCAAUAAAAAUGGAUGUGUGGUUGUCCUAUCAGCUUUGGAUCUUGUGCUGUUUUCUGAAGUGUUCUUUAAGAGGAUUCAUGGGUCUGUUGCAACACACCCGGUGCCCUCAGCUCUUCCUCAGUAUCCUGUAACCUUGUAGGUCCCUGUUUUCUCCAGGCCCAUGCAGUACAGGACAAUCGAAAAGGACUCCGGGGAUGGGCAUCUGCAAGGCAAACUUGAGGAGGUGGGUGCUGGGUGUUCUCUGCCUGCUGAUGGGGAGUUGGGGGUAGCAGCUCUACAGGCCCAGGGGUGUACCGUCUCCAGAGACUCAGAGCCCAGGAGAGUUGGCAAAUCCCUGCGGGUGCUGUGGCCCCGCCCACUCCUCACCUUAUCAGCAUCCAGUCUUCUAACGCUCUUUUUGUUUGUUUUUAAACAGAACUCCUUUGGAUAUUUGUAUUCCUGUAAAAGAUUGAUUUAUUCUAUCCACUUUAUGCUACAUGAGUGAUUUUUCAUUUAAUGUGAGCUACUGCUCUAUUUCUCAUAUUGAUGGGGACUCAUCUUUAGAAUUAAUUUCAGUCAUUUCUUUCCUUCAUAUCUUUAGCAACUCACAAACAUUACUUGGAAAGACCAUGAUUUAUUGUACCCUUUAAAAACCAUUAAUAUCCCUUUCUAUUCCAUAAUUAUUUUAUUUAAAAGGUUGUAAAGUUAUAUAUUUUUCUUACUGAUCAGUGAACAUAAAAAUAGUGUCGCUCUGUUUAUGCAGUAAAUAUAAGAUAAAAGAAGUAUCAGGAUUAGUUGUUAUGCCCACGUAUUUAAUGGGGUUUUCUUCAGCCUUUGCAAAUACAGGAGCAGCACUAGGAUAUUUUUCCCUCUCUGAACCUCCCAGAGGAAAGAUAGCACCCCAAGCAGUUUUUUGAUCAGCUUAGUCUUUCUUUCCAAAAUGGUCUAACAAGAGUGUUGCCCGAAAGCCUUCUCCCUUCAUGUUGGAGUGAUGAACCGUGCCUGGCACAGUGCAUUGCUUUGCCAUGACAUCUUUUUCUGCACAAGCAUUCUCAAUUGACUGUGGAUGGAUGAACUGUCUUAAACGGACAGCCUACUGUGAUUCGUAAUCCUAGUACUGCAACAGUGGGCGUAAAACAAAAAGGGUUUUUUUGUUUUGUUUUUUUCUGGUGGGGUUUUUUUUUGCAGCUUGUAUGAAUCAUCGCUCAAGCAUCUAAAAACAUGGGGUCUGUGUUUUCAGUGCCAAGCCCACUUGUUAAUGAAAGUCACACAUUUACCUCAAAGCCAGACGAAGUGCCUCAGUCUUCCCCCAGGAGUCCUAAAUGAUAAAGAAGAGAGAAUCUGUUCUUCUUUUCCUUUUGUAGUGGAGCAGAAUGGAAUAAUGAAGCUUGGGCAGAAUCUGGCAACUUCUAAAAUAAAGCUUCCCAUUUGUUGACACUAGAAAAAUACCUCGUGUCGGAGCACGCAUGCAAAUGUCUCCCUUUGUGCGUGACACUUUGCAGGGCUGUCCCUCUUUUUCGCUUUGAAGGGAAAGUAAAAAUCAUUUUGAUUUUUGAAAGAUAAAACAGCUUUUUAAAACAUGUUACAGACACUAGCCACUCAUUUUCUCACUAAUUCAUAUCAAGCGUUCUUAUUGAUAGAAUCUGAGAAAAAUAGAGGACAUGAAAUACAAUAGAUGAAAGACACGGACGGGAAUAGUGGCAGCGUAAUGGUCCUGUUCCCAUCUCAUACAGGAGCAUAUUCUAUGCCUCUUAUUGAGCUAAACUACCUGUGAUGUUGGUGGGUUCAGUGCACCGAAAAUGCUUCAUUUUCAAAGUAUUAGCAAGAUCAAUUAGCAAAUCCUUACAUCCAACAGUAAGAGAAAGCAUCUGAUAAUAGGGAAGUAUCAUGUACUCUUGUUUUUCUAGAAUUAACUGUUUUAUGUUUCAAUUUUCUAUGCCAAUCCACAUGAUGAACCCUUGAGAAUUUACGUUGAGAAUUUUGAGGUAGCUCAAAAAAUUAGGGGGCUGCCAGUGCAAUGAAAAGGGCCUGGGUUCGGGGGUGAGAACACAGGCUCAGGUUUAUUUAGUUGGUAAAUACUUCUGUGUUAUGCACUCAAGUGUUCGCCUCUCAGUGGCUGUGGAGAUUUUUUCAUGGAAUGUAGUUUUUAUGAGCUUUAGUAUUUUGGAGAUCCAUCACAUUUAGCCUGUUCAGCAAUUUUCUUUUAGGAUUUACCGCUCUCCUACCUAACAAGGUUGCCCAAGCUGUGUCUCCUCCGUAAUAUGACUCAGGUUGGGCAAUCUAAACCAGCGGUUCUCAUCUCGGAGGCCCAGAAAUCAGGAUUUAAAAAAGAUUCCCAGGUGAUUCUAAUGUGCAGCCACGGUUGAGAACCACUGAUCGAAACUCUCACUCCUAAUGGCCACAGUGAUUAUUCUGGGAGGGACACAUGGCCCAAUCUGAGCCAAUCUGGAAAUUUUGCUGGAGCUUCCCAGAAAGAAGAGUGAGUGAGCGAUAUAAUAUGUUUUGAGUCACUGCACCUAAACUUACCUGGAUCCAGUUGUAGACACUUCAAUUAUAUGGGAUCAAACUUUUCAUUUCCUUUUUUAAAAAUUUCAUUUUGUUUAGACUAGUUUGAGUCUGGACAAGACCAAUUUCGUUCUUUAUUGGUAAAAUUGGAACAAUCAUACUGUUUACUUUAAAGACGUGUGGUGAUGAUUGAAUGACGUAAGAUAGGGGAAGGUGAAAUAUAUUACUGUGGCAUGCACGACCUAUGGCAUGCAUCAGUGACCAUGGGUGAAGGGCUUGAAAGAGCCCCACUAACCUUGGGGUGAGGAAGGUAAGAGAAUCAUAAAUACUGUUGAAUUAAUGGCUGCAGGGAUUUUACUCCUUUCCUGUUAGUGUAAACUAUAAACACAAUUCACUUGGAAUCAUGGUACUUUUGAGCAGAAGACCAAAUUCAUCUUAAGAAUGCAUCACCUCCCUACAAUACACGAGAGCUUAAGCAUAGGUAAGAGAGAGAGGCGAGGAGGUGGUGAUCCAGCCCACGUGGUGCUUACAUUUCAGUACAGAUGCAGGACUGUACAGAAACGGAGCUCCAAGUGGGAUUUGGGUCAACACUUGAAAAUAUGAAUAACAAUUCUGGUUUCAUUGCUUAGCUGCUUGUGUCCCUGGUCAGGAAUAUUAGGAGUUUAAGCAUCAGGUUAUUUGAUUCCUUUCUUCAGUCGCCUGGUAUGUUUGAUCCAGAUCUACCCUCAUUUUCUUUUCAUUAAAAUUGGCAAAAGGGCAAGGUAUAUUUACAGGUGGCCUCAGGAUCCAUGAAUGAGACACACACAGUGAGACAACUGUAGGUACUGCCCAUUCAGCAGGGGCCCACCCACACUGGCAGACCGCCACAUUCAUUGUACCAGGUCUGUUUGCUCACCCUCGCACUCCCUAGAAGUAUCUUGCUUGGAGUAAUGAAAAAUAACCCUCUACCAGUGUAAUACAUCAAAUUAUUUAUCUCAUUUACUUUAGGGUUUGUGUUGAGUUUGGCUUACACUGUGUUUUACCCAUUCUAGCACUGGGUACAAAAUGCAGUAUUCAACAAGCAAUGUGCUGUGGUUAGUGGAAGGAAGCAAGCUUUGGAAUCAAACAGAUUACUUGGAGUCCUUGCUCUGCCACUUAGCAUUUGGGAAAGGGGUUUUCUUAAUCCAUUUCUAAGUCCAAAGAAGACUUAACUGAACUCUUGCUAUGAGUUUCUGUAGUUAUUGUUUUCCCAUUUAUUCUAAUCAUCUUCCACCUAAAGCCAAAACUACCCUCUAAAGCUAAAGGGACUAAGAAGUAAACAUUGAUAGUCACCGGGAUGUAAAUUACAGCAUAAGGAAUACAGCCAAUAAUAUUGUAAUGACUCUGUAUGGUACCAGGUGGGUACUAGAAUUAUCAGGGGAAUCACUUCGUAAAUUAUACGAUUGUCUAACCACUAUGCUGUACACUUGAAACUAAUAUAAAAUAAUGUUGAAUGUCACCUGUAAUUGAAAAAUUAAAAACACACACGAAACUUCUCUUUAGAUUACUGUUGGCACAACUGAUGGAAAGGGGUGACAGAGCCUCUAAAAUUAUUAUAAGGAAUCUACAGAAUUAAAGAUACUUUACAUAUUGCCUGUAAACCAAAUGAAUAAUGUCUUAUAUCUAUGUCUAUAUCAUCUAUAUCUACAUCUAUAUGUCUAUGUCUCUAUCUAUCUAUCUAUCUAUCUAUCACCUAUCUAUCUAAUAUCUUGUAUGCUACUAUUUUGCAAGUAUGUAAACAUAUUCUUGAAUUAGUAACUAAAUAAACCUUAUUUAAAAAUA